GACAUCAAAGAACUGAUUAACAAUAUGGAAGAGACAAAUCAAGGAAACCUAAUUAUUUUUUGUUCUGUUAUGGGCUGUGGCCUUUUACUAAUAAUUGUAGUUUUGCUAUGCCUGGUACCCAAAAUGGCACACCUAAAAUCAAUGCGAUGUUCAGAUGAAGUAUAAAGAUUAGAUGUCUUCUUCUAUGUCCUGGAACAAGUGAUUUCUUACCAGGAAAGAAGCUGGACAUUCUCAACUGGCAAUAAGACUUUUGUUAAAUCUUUAGCCAACUGGCUGGAAGAACAAGAAUAUAAACAGGACCAACUGGCUGUGUUCCAGCAACUCCUUUCUUCUUUGUCAUUGCAGAAUAGAAAAAGAAGACCAGCUGCAGUUUUGUCUCUGAAUUAUAAUCUGUACACUGUAUUAUACUAUACACAAGCACACUGCCUAACAAUGUGCUUUUCCCAAAGUGUCCGUAAAACAGCAAAAAUAUUAGCACGAAAAAGCAUUGAAAGAAAGUUAUA